GUCAAAGGCCCUUUCAGAAGCAACUCCAUUUCAUUGGAUAACUUAAAACCCUCCAGAGUGUACUGUUUACAAGUCCAGGCACAACUGCUUUGGAACAAAAGUAACAUCUUUAGAGUCGGGCAUUUAAGCAACAUAUCUUGCUACGAAACAAUGGCAGAUGCCUCCACUGAGCUUCAGCAAGUCAUCCUGAUCUCCGUGGGAACAUUUUCGUUGCUGUCGGUGCUGGCAGGAGCCUGUUUCUUCCUGGUCCUGAAAUAUAGAGGCCUGAUUAAAUACUGGUUUCACACUCCACCAAGCAUCCCAUUACAGAUAGAAGAG
rnacentral:circRNA from 1 species